CAUCCACCUGAAGAUUGUUCAUGGAAUUGUCGAGGGAACUUUGGUGGCUAAGCUUGAUGUUAUAAAAACAAUGAGUUCUAAUUGAGUGAAAAUGAUUGAGUUUGGGUUUGAAGUGGGAGAGCUAUGGAUUUUUAAAUUGUCACAGUGGAUGCUAUUGUGUGCCUCAUCUAUAAUAAUCCAGCAUGGGUUUCUUGUUAAGCCAUUACUUUUUUACACCAUCAAAUCCAGUCAAACAUUUGUGCAAAAUAUAUUUAAACCCAAGUCUAGUACUAGUGGAAUAAUGUUGCUACAAGCUUACUCAUUUUCAUCUUGUUUGUUACAGAAAUCUGAGUCCUUAAUAGGGGAUGUUCAAUACUGCUGGGAUUCUGAUAUAAAAAAUAUUCUAGCUACCUGUAUAAUGUGUUCCACCAUUCAUGCUCUGUUUGGAAGCACUCUUGUCUCACUUAAUAGCACUAGCAUGUUUAAGGGCAUUUAUUUUUGUGGUGGGUUCAUAUUGGAAUAUUGGAAUAAAGAAUAAAGAAUAAAAGAGAAAUAAAUUGGAAAUAUGUUAAGGAAAUUUGUUUUGACCGGUACCUCUUUUAUUUGUUUGAACUCAAGAUAUUUAAAUCAGCUAUUGGUUUAUUUGGGUGUCAAAGUAGAUCAGUGAGUGAUGGUGUCCUAAUAAAACAGCUUUAAGGUUUUCAUUUUUUCUUUGAAUUAGCCUUUCACUUCAUCAAUUAAUUAAUUAAUUAGACAUGAUUUGUGAAAUGUUUGUUUGUGAAGUAUUUCUGUAUAGCCCGGACUUAAUACUUUCAGCCCUUGCUUCAGUUGCCUUUGCUGCUGCAAUUUUUGACCUCCCUUUGUGAACCUCAGAUUUCAGCAGUGCUAUUUCAACUUGAGCUUCAUUCUCCCUUCCUCUAAUCUCAUCCACCUCUAUUUUUGUCCUCUCUAAUUCCCCUGUAAGCAUCUCAACAUCACAGUUUAAACGCCCUACCUCCUCAUUUGCAUUCUUAAGCUUUAUUUUAAACUGAUUAAGCUCCAUUUCCAGUGAGUUAAUGGAUACUGCUUGUUCUGAGUUCUCUCUUUCCUGCCUUUCAAAAUCUAAUUAUAGCUUGUUUAAAUUGUUGAUGGCAUCAGAAGCAGCUUUUGCAGAUACACAGUAAGUUCAUUGCCUUCUUUAAGUUCAAAUUGCAGGGUUUCAAUAAAUUCCGAUUUAGCCAGGAGCUCAUUUUCCAGAAACUGCACUAUCUCUGUUUGUUUCCUCAACUCUUCUAGCUGUUCCUGUGCUUGAGCCAAAGUUGCUGUCACUAACUGUAACUCCGCCUCUUUCUCACAUAGAACUGCAGACUUCUCUUUCUCUGCUUCAAUAGCAGCCAGCUUUGAAUGAAGAAUAACUUCAUGGAACUCUGAGACAUGCUUUAGAAGCUCAUCAGUCUUGCCUUUUUCCAUGUUGGCAGCAUUUUCCAUCAGCUUUGCUUGUUUCAUAGCCUUGAAUUCAGAUUCUCUAGCAUUAGCAAGUUCUGUUUCCAUAUGAAAUAAUACUUCUUGGGUUGUCUUCAACUUGCUUAAAACAUGAUAAAGCUACAGAAUGGAAAAAAAAGUGUUAUAUAUCGUGAUUUUUCAAGUUUAGUUUUUAAUUUGGCGUACUAUCUGCUUUAUAGGUUUUGGGAUAUUGGAAAAUCUAAGCAUCAUGUUUUUUUCUUUUUCUCGCUGAAUAUUUAUUAGUUGUGUAGUUUUGAUUUUUGGAAGCAACAACGUUGAAUAUUUAUUAGUCAUGUGGUUUUGGAUUUUGAAAGUUAACUGGCUUGUGAUUAUUGCUGGAAUUUGGAAAUUAGGAUUCAAAACUUUGUUUUUCCUUCUCUUCCUCUAUAUUCUAAGCAAUCUAAUAGAGGAUUGGGGUUUAAUGGUAGUUUAGUCUGUAGUGGCAAUGGGAAUGAUUGUCAACCAAUUAGAUAUUUUUGACAAUAAUUGAAAAUUUUAAUUAAAAAAAUUCCUAACUAGUUUUUUCUUUUUCCCCUAAAUUUUAUCUCAGGGUUUGUGAAUUUUCUGUAUUUUGGUCAAUAAUGGAAUUUUUUUUCUGCAGUUUUUUAGAAUUGGUGGAGGUUCAGAUAGCAAAAUUGGGUUUUUUAGGGGAAACCGAAUUUUUUUCUUUCUUAUUUCUAUUCUUUAAUAUCACAAAUAACAAAACAAGAAAGAAUAGAAAUCUUAUUAUUUAACAGUACAAAAAAAAAAAGAUAACAUAGUAUAAUCCAACUCUAUAAAGGGGAGGAGGAAGUGAUAAAGGAGGCAGAGGAGCUGAACAAGCAAAUGGAUGCUCUCAUUGCUCUUCGGAUCAAGGUGGAGAAUCACUGGUGGGGUUUAGAGCAGCAGGAGGUGGUGGUUCUGGCCCAGCAGAGAGGUGGCUUGAUCAUCAGGACAAUGGCAGAAGGCCUAAAGGGAUAUUCUUAGGAACCAGAAACUCCAAUAUCAACUUCGAAGGGCAUUGUCUCCACUUCAACAUCCAACUCGUCAUUCAGCAAGGAGGAGCUGAGGAAAGCAGAGGAGCUAAUGACAAAGGCAUUUGUUGAAUUCCAUAAAAAACUCCGGGUUAUAAAAAGUUAUUGGUGACAUAGGUUUCUUCUUCUUCUUCUUUCUACAUAAUCUGAUGAGGUCUUCUUCUUCUUCUUCUUCUUUCUACAUAAUCUGAUGAAGCUAAACAUAUUUCUUGAGAAUUUACUAAUGUUAGUAGGAUCAAUUCUAUUCUCACACAUGCUCCAUAGCACUCAUAGUUGCCUUUUAUUGUUUGGAAUGGUUUCAGGGAUUAAAUGCUGUUGCUCAUGAUGCAUCUGCAAUUGAGGAAUACCCUUACGCAGAAGAACAAGGGCUUUGCUUUCAUAUGGUUUGCAAUUGUUGAGCACACAGGCAUGCAUGCUGUCAAUGAACUUAAGCAUCCAGUGGUAUUGAGAUUGUCCUCUUCUUUCUUUUCUUGAUUAUCUUCUUAGCAUUCUAUGUUUGGAGCUGGAGUUGACUUGGAGCCUAUAGCCUGAAGGCUAAUUUGUAGAGUCAGUCCUUGUGGUGAGCCUCAACACGUAAACCUUAAUAGCCUUUUAACAAAAAAAUAAACUAUGAGAACUAAUAAAGCAUUAAAAAGGCUCUAACUAAAAUAUGUAAUGCUAAAAUUAAAUUAUGGAAUAAUUUUCCUUUUUUCUUUCAGAAUAUUUUGUAGGGUGCUUUUCAUGUUGUUCUCCAUCAUUGGUUGUAUUUUCUGCAUGGCAUUCCCGACCCCUAUUUGCUUUGGAUAGUUAUUAGUUGCUAUGACAUGGAUCUUGCAAAAAGAGAACCAAUUGGUAUUGAAAUGAAUUACAGUUUUGUUGAAUCAGCAGCAUGCAGUUUUUACUUUUAACUAUUUAAUAUAGUUUUACUUUUUGUUGGUGUUGUAUUACUUCAUCCAUAUUUUUCAUUGAUUAGGCUAUUGAAUGACCAGCAUGCAGCUCCUACAAGUGACAUAGAGGUUCCCUCUAGUAAUCAUGCCUAUAAGGAGCAGUAGAAUGCUAUGAGGUGUAUCAUAACAGUUCAAAUAUAUCUAAAACAUUUGGUGGUGUCGCCCCUCCAACACUUCAAAUUGCAGCAAUGGCUCAAUAGCAGGCUUCAUACCCUACCUACCACCACCAGCAACAACAGCAUUUGAUGUAAUUUUCCCCCAACACUACUACUGCUCACCCUCAAACUAACAAUCCUUUUGGAAGCACUGGUCUACUGUAAUUUUCUGUUGAUUUCUCAUGUUUAUGUAUGAUGUAAAAUUAUUUUGGCAUUUGAAUUCAAAUAAAACUAUUUCCUUCUAGUUA